rnacentral:lncRNA from 1 species
UCCAGUCAUGAUAGCAUCCAGAGUCUUGUAAAACUCCUCAGGAAGUGGACCAGGUCGGUGUAGUGGAACAUGCUUAGGGACAGGAGCGUCAUUUUCAACUACUUCACAUUCGUAGUCAUCGGGUACACCCCAUGGGUCCCACUCUGCAAUUUGGUACCAAAAGAUGUCAAUGCAUUUUGGUUCUUUAUUACAAAAUUGUAAUUGUAGGAAAUGAAGAUAUAAGAUUACUCGAGCUAAAAACCAGGAAGCCAAUGAUUUGAAAUGAAGUUCUGUUGGAAUUGUUGCCAAAAAAGUUGAUAGAAACAGUAAGCAGUGUAAAAUCAUGUGCAUUAGUUUCACAACAGGAGAAUUGUUGGUAUUGUUUUCAUGUGUUGUGUUCUAAAUGUCAUUUUGGAACUUGUAGGAAUAUAUUCAGAUAUUCACUGCAUUGAAUUAGUAAGUGGAGUGUGGAGAAGAGAUUAGUAAUAAAUAAACUUUAGGUGAUGAGAAUUAGAAUUACAAUUAUGAGAGAAAUAGAUCAAUAUGUAGCAGAAAAAAGAGAGAAAUUUUACAAGUCAAACCAAGAACACCAUGAAUUUUACAUGAUUCAAUCAGGAAAGCUAACAUAGAUGCUGUGGCCUAGGGCCAGAAUUGAAGAAACAUCAGUUGAAGAUUUGAACUAACUAUUCACCAAUUCAAGUCCAACUACAAAACACUAACUAAAUUCGUAUAACCUGUGAAAUGAAAUGUAUGUACCCACAAAAGCCAUCAGUAACAGUAGAUCAAACAAAAUACCUAAUUCAUCUCUAUGAUUUGACUAAUACUCAUCGUCAAUUUAUCAUUGAUCGAAUUGAAGGAUUUGUUUAAAAGAGAGGGAGAGAGGGAAUUGGUACCGAUCAUUUUGUCAAUGAGUUUGAGCUCAUCCUGAGCUUCUUCAAUGAGUUCCUCAACUUGACCACAACCAAGUCGCUUCUCAAUGACUUCCCAAUCUUCUUCCUCUUGGCAUACCUUCAAUCGGUGGCGCGUGAAGCUCUCAACGGCCUUCCGAUAGCCUUCGUCCUCAGGUACACGCUGGAUCUCGUUUAGGGUUUUGUUGUAAAGACCAAUUAGCACGUCCCUUGCAUUAGGAACCACCUCGAGACCGACGAUCCCCGUUGUUUCCUUCACCCUGGCCAUCAUCAUCAAUG